GCCAGCCCAACGCCGAUUUCCCCAUGUCGCCCCUCACGGGGCGAACGGGUCCAUCUCGUCGACGAUCGCAUCAUCCUCACCAUCAUAUUCGGUUGCGGGCAUCACGCCCAUCGUGCCAUCGCCGGCGCGGAAGAUGACGAUGGAGACCAUAAGCGUGGAAGCGAGGCUGAAGGCGAAGGCGUGGGCAUCNNNNACAUUUUCCGGCUCCUGUUUGGAGGCGGGGACCAUUCCCCGCUCGACAGGCGCCCGAAGUG
rnacentral:misc_RNA from 1 species